ACACCGGCGGCCCGAGUGGUGAUCGUGAUUAUUGGGUCUAAAGGGUCCGUAGCCGGUUUGGUCAGUCCUCCGGGAAAUCUGAUAGCUCAACUAUUAGGCUUUCGGGGGAUACUGCCAGACUUGGAACCGGGAGAGGUAAGAGGUACUACAGGGGUAGGAGUGAAAUCUUGUAAUCCCUGUGGGACCACCUGUGGCGAAGGCGUCUUACCAGAACGGGUUCGACGGUGAGGGACGAAAGCUGGGGGCACGAACCGGAUUAGAUACCCGGGUAGUCCCAGCCGUAAACGAUGCUCGCUAGGUGUCAGGCAUGGCGCGACCGUGUCUGGUGCCGCAGGGAAGCCGUGAAGCGAGCCACCUGGGAAGUACGGCCGCAAGGCUGAAACUCAAAUGAAUUGGCGGGG
rnacentral:rRNA from 1 species